AACGAACGCUGGUGGCGUGCUUAACACAUGCAAGUCGAACGAGAAAGUUUCCUUCGGGAAAUUAGUAAAGUGGCGCAAGGGUGAGUAUCACGUGAAUAAUCUGCCCUCGAGAUCGGGAUAACAUGGUGAAAACUAUGCUAAUACCGGAUAAGACCACAUUUCAUAAGAAAUGCGGUAAAAGGAGUCUCAAUCUUCACUCGAGGAUGAGUUCGCGCAACAUUAGCUUGUUGGUGGGGUAAGAGCCUACCAAGGCGACGAUGGUUAGCGGGUCUGAGAGGACGAUCCGCCACACUGGAACUGAGACACGGUCCAGACUCCUACGGGAGGCAGCAGUAGGGAAUAUUGCGCAAUGGGGGAAACCCUGACGCAGCAAUGCCGCGUGGGGGAUG
rnacentral:rRNA from 1 species